AACGAACGCUGGCGGCGUGCUUAACACAUGCAAGUCGAACGCGAAAGGGACUUCGGUCCUGAGUAGAGUGGCGCACGGGUGAGUAACGCGUAGAUAAUCUGUCCUUGUGUCUGGAAUAAUACGUCGAAAGGUGUACUAAUACCGGAUAUUCUUGCUUUUCAUAAGCUUAGCAAGCAAAGGUGGCCUCUGAUUUAAGCUACUGCACAUGGAGGAGUCUGCGUACCAUUAGCUAGUAGGUGGGGUAAUGGCCUACCUAGGCUUCGAUGGUUAACGGGUCUGAGAGGAUGAUCCGUCACACUGGCACUGGAACACGGGCCAGACUCCUACGGGAGGCUG
rnacentral:rRNA from 1 species